GCUCCCGCUCAUCGAGGGGCUCGCGCAUCAUCAGCUUGUUGGCGGGGUAACGGCCCACCAAGGCAUACGAUUAGCUGGUCUGAGAGGAUGACCAGCCCCACUGGGACUGAGAUACUGCCCAGACUCCUACGGGAGGCUGCAGUCGAGGAUCAUUUGCAAUGGGCGAAAGCCUGACAAUGCGACGCUGCGUGGAGGAUGAAGGCCUUCGGGUUGUAAACUCCUGUCAUAAGGGAACAGGCGAUUCUACCUAAUACGUAGGAAAGUUGAGUGGACUUUAAGAAGAAGCGACGGGUAACUCUGUGCCAGCAGCCGCGGUAAUACAGAAGUCGCAAGCGUUGUUCGGAUUUACUGGGCGUAAAGGGUGCGUAAGCGGCAAUGUGUGUCAGAUGUGAAAUCUCCGGGCUCAACCCCGAAAAGGGCUCUGAAAAUGGAUUGCUCGAGUCUGGGAGAAGGAAUCCGGAAAUUAGGGGGGAGCGGGGAAAAGCGUUUGAUAUUCUAUUAAACACCGGAAGGGAAAGGCGGAUUCCUUGAACAGUUACUGACGCUGAGGCGCGAAAGUCGGGGGAGCAAACAGGAUUAGAUACCCUGGUAGUCCCGACCUUAAACGGUGUACACUCGGGGUGGGGCCCUUUCACCGGUCCCGUCUCUUAGCUAACGCGUUAAGUGUACCGCCUGGGGAGUACGGUCGCAAGACUAAAACUCAAAGAAAUUGACGGGGGCCCGCACAAGCAGAGGAGCAUGUGGCUUAAUUCGAUGAUACGCGAGGAACCUUACCCGGGCUUGAAAGUUAGCGACGGACCUGGAAACAGGUCUUCCCUUCGGGGCGCGAAACUAGGUGCUGCAUGGUUGUCGUCAGCUCGUGCCGUGAGGUGUCGGCUUAAGUGCCAUAACGAGCGCAACCCCUGCCGCCAGUUGCCAGCGAGUGAAGUUGGGGACUCUGGCGGGACUGCCACCGCAAGGUGCGAGGAAGGCGGGGAUGACGUCAAAUCAGCACGGCCCUUACGUCCGGGGCGACACACGUGUUACAAUGGGGGGUACAGAGGGCAGCGACCUGGCGACAGGGAGCGAAUCUCAGAAAGCCCCUCUCAGUUCGGAUCGGAGUCUGCAACUCGACUCCGUGAAGCUGGAUUCGCUAGUAAUCGCGCAUCAGCCAUGGCGCGGGGAAUACGUAAGGGGGCCUUGCACUCACCGCCCGUCA
rnacentral:rRNA from 1 species